CAGAAGAUAAAAGCUCUUAGGAGAGACUGCUAAGAGAGGAUGAAAGGGGACAACCUUUCUCUGUUGGUGAGAACAUUAAUUGCUAGGGUUCAAGGUUCAAUGCUUUCAUUCAUUCACUCAACAAACCGUUGUCAAUGUUUUCUGUGUGCCAGAUGCUGGCCAGCAGGAUGCAAACAAG